GAUGAAGAACGCAGCGAAAUGCGAUAGGUAACGCGAAUUGCAGAAUCCGUGAGUCAUCGAAUCUUUGAACGCACAUUGCGCCCUCUGGUAUUCCGGAGGGCAUGCCUGUUCGAGCGUCAUUAUCACCCCUCAAGCCCGGCUUGUUGUUGGAUGCAGCGCUUAUCCCGCUCCUCCCAAAGAUAAUGACGGCGUCUGCGACGACUCCUGUACACUGAGCUUUCGGGCACGUACACGGCUAGAAGUCCAGACCCGGUCGCCGUCCCCCCCGCGGGGACACCCAUUACCACAAGGUUGACCUCGGAUCAGGUAGGAAUACCCGCUGAACUUAAGCAUAUCAAUAAGCGGAGGA
rnacentral:misc_RNA from 1 species